AUCGAUGGCUCAGGAUGAACGCUAGCGGCAGGCUUAACACAUGCAAGUCGAGGGGCAACGCGAGUAGCAAUACUUGGCGGCGACCGGCGCAAGGGUGCGUAACGCGUGAGCAACAUGCCCGUAUCAGGGGGAUAAUCCAGGGAAACUUGGUCUAAUACCCCAUAGUAAUUUUUGUAAGGCAUCUUAUAAGAUUUAAAGCUUUGGUGGAUACGGAUUGGCUCGCGUGACAUUAGCUGGAUGGUAAGGUAACGGCUUACCAUGGCUAUGAUGUCUAGGGGUUCUGAGAGGAAGGUCCCCCCACACUGGAACUGAGACACGGGUCCAGACUCCUACGGGAGGCAGCAGUGAGGAAUAUUGGACAAUGGAUGGAAAUCUGAUCCAGCCAUGCCGCGUGAAGGAAAGAAGGUCCUAUGGAUUGUAAACUUCUUUUGUAUGGGAGCAAUAAGGCCUACGAGUAGGUUGAUGAGAGUACCAUACGAAUUAAGCACCGGCUAACUCCGUGCCAGCCGCAGC
rnacentral:rRNA from 1 species